GACGAACGCUGGCGGCGUGCUUAACACAUGCAAGUCGAACGGAAAGGCCCUGCUUUUGUGGGGUGCUCGAGUGGCGAACGGGUGAGUAACGCGUGAGUAACCUGCCCUUGACUUUGGGAUAACUUCAGGAAACUGGGGCUAAUACCGGAUAGGAGCUCCUGCUGCAUGGUGGGGGUUGGAAAGGUUCGGCGGUUGGGGAUGGACUCGCGGCUUAUCAGCUUGUUGGUGGGGUAGUGGCUUACCAAGGCUUUGACGGGUAGCCGGCCUGAGAGGGUGACCGGCCACAUUGGGACUGAGAUACGGCCCAGACUCCUACGGGAGGCAGCAGUGGGGAAUAUUGCACAAUGGGCGGAAGCCUGAUGCAGCAACGCCGCGUGCGGGAUGACGGCCUUCGGGUUGUAAACCGCUUUCGCCUGUGACGAAGCGUGAGUGACGGUAAUGGGUAAAGAAGCACCGGCUAACUACGUG
rnacentral:rRNA from 1 species